rnacentral:rRNA from 1 species
AUGCCCUCCUUCGCCCCGUCGGCCGAUCGGGAGUUCCCUUGUGAUGAUCGCCGAGUUUUGCAUCCUACUCCUCGGUCACACUUGGGCAGUACACCCAAGAUGGAUUUUCCUAAAUUCGAUGGGGAAGAUUACCAAGUGUGGUUGGACAAUUGUGAACUAUAUUUUGAGAUUUAUGGGGUGUCUGAGCUAAUGAAGGUCAAGUUUGCCGCUCUCAACUGUGUUGGGAGCGCGGCACUGUGGCUAAAAAUGGCCCAGAAACGCCGGCAGUUUGUGCAUUGGCACGACCUGCGCACUGCAGUUCAGGAGAAGUGGGGGAAGAACAAGCACAAAUUCCACAUGCGCCAGUUGCUGUUGCUUAGUCAAACUAGCUCGGUAGAUGAGUAUACUUCUAAAUUUGACACCCUGCGACACCAAAUCCUUCUAGCAGAUCCACACACUAGUGAGGUGUUUUUUGUUGAGAGAUAUAUAGCAGGCCUUCGUCCUAAAAUUCGUUCUGCUGUUAUAUUGCAUCAACCAGAGGAUGUCGAUACUGCUAGUUGUUUGGCCCUGUUGUGGGAAGUGGAGCUCGACAACGACAAGGCAGGCAGCAGCUCUAAGUCCAGCCAGUGA